rnacentral:lncRNA from 10 species
UUUUUGUAUUUUUAGUAGAGACGGGGUUUCACCGUUUUAGCCGGGAUGGUCUUGAUCUCCUGACCUCGUGAUCCGCCCGCCUCGGCCUCCCAAAGUGCUGGGAUUACAGGCGUGAGCCACCGCGCCCGGCCAAAUGCUACCAUUGUUAAGUGCCAGGCGUCCCACCAUGCGGGUCUUCACUGCGUAUCCACGUAGCUGCACCACGCAGGCAUUCUUUCCUCCCUUUUGCAGAUGAUGGCACCAAAGUUCAAGACUCGCCCAGGGCCACCAAGACAGUCCUCUAGACUUUGGUCUUCCCUCCUUGCCUCCUCGGCCUGGGGUGGUGGCGCCUCGGUCUGAGAAGGGUCGAGGUCUGGGUGCUGCUAGUGGCCCUGGCUCAGUCUCAGAGCUGCCCGGAGGGGGUGAGGAUGGCUAACUUAAGGAGCACAGGCAGAGGCUUCCUGCUGGCAGGAAGAGGGCUGAGCUGCGGAAGGCCACCCAGGUGGAGUGUGCUGCACCUCCUUCAGUGGCCUUCAGGAGCUCUGUCCUCACCCAGGGAUUGGGGUGAGUCAGGGCAUGGGGAAACAGGCUCACAGAGCCCACCUGCUCACCCUGACCACCCCACCCCAGGGGACCCCAGGCUCCUAACUCUCAGAAUCCCACAGUCUGUAUUGGCGGAAGACGGGCUGGCACCCUUGAGUUAGGCCCCCAGUCGUUGGCACAGAUAAGGGGAGCUGCUGCUGAAGGAGCCCGACGGCUGAUUCUGUGGAGGCUUCUCAGAGCUCCUGGCAGGAGCCCCUCACCGCAGGAGGCCCACAACCCCUCCCAGCUGCAUAUCGGCUCACAUUCACGCGGCUGCCACACAAGUGCGUCGGAAACUCCACUUGGCUGAACGUGAUUGUGCUGCUGUCUGGGACAGUCUUAUGCACGUGAGCCCAAUACUGGAUGUCCCGCCAUUUUCAGCCCUGGGGCCUAUGGCAAAGUGACGCCCCCCUCGGAGUGCACGGCAGGCAAGGAAGGUUUAAACGGAAGUUCUGACCAGGACGAUGCUGGGUGCAAGAGGGGACGGGGAUGGAGCAAAACAGAAAGGAUCCACCAGGGCCUGCAACCACGUCUUUGGCCCCGGUGAGGGGUGGGACCUUGUGUAUAGGUCCAGGCAGCAGCAGCUGCAGACAGAGGCCUAGAGGGUUUGGAGAAGGCCGACCACAAAGACACGCCUAGACCCCAGAGUCUAGUGAGGAGAGGGACUGGGGGCAGUGUUUCGGCAGCAGACCCAGACCCAGACUCAGACCCAAGCCCCCCUCCUCACUGAUCAAAACCCCAAGGGCAGGGAGCCCUUCCUGCUCCUUCCCGCCAGAGCCUGGAGGAUGAGGGGCAGACGGGAGGCCCGGCCACUGGUGCCUGCUCCUUUGAUCAGCUGUAGUCCCUUCCCCUUCACAGGGCACUUGUCUUGCUGGUUGGGGUCACCAGGGAUUGCUCCCCCAAGUACCCAUCAGCCUCCAGGGCCCAAAUGAUUCCAUGCAGUAGCUCUCUCCCCCUCUUCUGAGAAGGCUCUUGGCUCCCAGAAACGGAAACCAUGCCUGGGCCUGCUCCCCUUCCUUGGGCUGUGACCCCCCUGCCACAGAGGCCUGGUGGCCCCUGAGCUGCUGCUCCGAGUGGAAUGUCCUGGUCUAGAGGCCCUUGGCUGCUCCAGUGUCUUAAGACCCAUAUAUGAGUGCUGGCUCUGACCUUGAACAAGCUCCUCCAUCGCUCCAGGCCUCGUUUUUCAGGUGUAUAUGAUGAUAGUAUCUCUAGGCCUCGUUUUUCAGUUGUAAAGCAGGGAUGAUCAUAUGUGUUUAACUCCCAGAUUGUUAUCAAGUCAAGGACAACAAUAGGAAAACAUGUCACCUGUCAGCUCCACACAAGGCAAAGUAGGAUGGGUGACCCCUGACUAGGGGGUGGGAGUGCAGGGGGCACCCGACCCAUCUGGCCAGCCACAGCCUCUGUACCCUGCUCGCAUUUUCAGGCCUCAAUCCCCAAGCACUGUUGGCCCUGGACUGUUUCCCCCCCUCAAUUCUGUUUCUCAAUGCCUGCUUCUUCCCAGUAAGUGCCACACCCUGAGGGUGGGUGGGAGAGUGAGGCAGCACUGCCCACUUUGGCUGGGACUGGGCACUGCUGGGGACAGCACGGGCCACGUCUUCCCCAUCUCAAGACUGGCUUUUUGGCUAGGCAUUGUGACUCACGCCUGUAAUCUCAGCACUUUGGGAGGCUGAGGUGGGAGAAUUGCUUCAGCCCAGGAGUUCCAGACCAGCCUGGGCAAAAUAGCAAGAAUUCAUCUUUAUGAAAAAGAAAAAAAAAAUUAGCCAGGCAUGGUGGCACACACUUAUAGUCCCAGAUACUUAGGAGGCCGAGGUGGGAGGAUCCCUUGAGCCCAUGAGUUGGAGGCCGUGGUGAGCUAUCAGUUGCACCACUGCACUCCAGCCUGGAUGGCAGAGCAAGACCCCAACUCAAAAAAAAAAAAAAAAAAAAAAAGGCGGCCUUUUCCCAGCUGGCAGCACCCUGGCUAGUUAGGGUUUCUCCGAAUCUGCAACUCCUGUGUGAUGGCGGGUCUCAAAUGCUGGCAGCAGAGUCACCGGUCAGCGGCAAGACCUGGAGUCUCCAUUUGGAACCAGCACCCGGGAGCCUCUGCUGGGGGUGAUCAUGGAGCCGCACGUGGAGGCUGGUGGCUCUGAUGGUUCGAGCCGUUCCUCGGCAGCACAGCACACCCGCUCCUGAGGAGCCACGGAGCUCAUGAGCGUUGGCAAAGUGCUGUCAGUGCUGGCUGUAAGGAAACAGGCUUGACUUUUAACUCAGCCUUUCCCAAACUUGACUAUAAUACUUUCUUGAAAAUCAGAAUAACCACUAACAUCACAAAACGAGUGUUCUCAGGAGUGGGCAUGUUUAUCUCGUUCUCUUUUUUUUUUUCUUUUUGAGACGGAGCCUCGCUCUGUUGCCCAGGCUGGAGUGCAAUGGUGCGAUCUCGACUCACGGCAAUCUCCGUCUCCCCGGUUCAAGCGAUUCUCCUGCCUCAGGCUCCCGAGUAGUUGGGAUUACAGGCGCACGCCACCACGCCCGAUUAAUGUUUAUUUUUAGUACAGACGGGGUUUCUCCAUGUUGGUCAGGAUGGUCUCGAACUCCUGACCUCAGGUGAGCCUCCUGCCUUGGCCUCCCAAAGUGCUGGGAUUAUAGGCGUGAGCCACCACGCCCAGUCUUUUUUUAAAUAUUUGAGUGAAAUAAAGCCUAGGAGAUAUGUGUUCCAGGCGCCCAAGCUGUUAAUGUGGAGCUUGAAUGUGGCCUGGACCUGCCCUUUCCUCUUCUCCUUUCAUCCCCCUCCCUGCCGCCCACAUCCUGAACUGCUCUGAGCCUGCAGAAGAACCCAGCGGGAAUCUUCAGGGUUGUGGAAGGGUGUAGGGAUGGAAAGGGACCAGGAUUCGCCUGUUUGGCUGGGAAAAUCGGUAGAGGAGGGUGGCUCACACUUCUAAGAUGUCUGCACAAGCCCAGUUUGUUUGGGGGUUGGGGAGGAAGGUCUUUUCCUGGCCCACUGUCCCUCCCGAGUCAGCAGUCCCCCAGAGAGACGAAGAGCAGCUGGGCACGGCUGGAGCUGGUCGGUGGCAGAGAAUCUUGUCCUGCCUUUUCUUCUCAAGCUCAAAAUAGGCACAUGCAGCUAUUAACUGAUAUGCCAGAAGGGGCAUCCCUUACCCGGAGGAAAAUGGAUUUAUUGCUUUAUAAAAAAGAAGUCUAAUAAAACUGAAGAGAAAAUAACUAAAAAUCCAAACACAACUCACCCCUCUAAGCACGCCCAGGAGGUCUCAAGACACACUUCUGGGGGCAGUCAAGGUGGGCGGGUUGGUGGGCCAGGCGGACGGGCCUGGCGGCUCCCGCCUGGUCAGUGGGGAUAAG